AAAAUUCAAGCUUGGGGGAAAUACCUUACGUAAGAACAUCCUUUGCCAUGUUGCUAUGUUGGUUGUCCCUACUUUUGAGGCAUGCUCAAUUUUCUAAACACUAAACUUAUUUUUCAUCUCCACCUGAGUAGAUCUCUAUAAAUGCUGUCAUGCUACCUUUGUCUAUUCACAAGCAAGUGUCGGUUUGGAAGUACUCGACAUACUUCCAUUGGCAUUUAAAUUAAGCGUGGUGCUUAGGUUAAAUAGCCUUCCUUAAUCUGAUUAGACAUGGAGUCUAGUUUGGUUACUGAACUAAAAACUGCUUGAGUAGACAUUGGUAAAUUUUGUCGGACUAACCCCUGCAGGAAAACUUUCAAUAUCAACCUGGAAAGUCCUGAGAUACAAACUCACAUUGGAGACAAAGGAGACACAUAAAGUUUAACGAUUUGCACAAGGAAGACAUAGCUGAUUCAUCAUAGAGAGAUGAUCCAUGGAACGAGACAAAGAGUACCACAAACACGGUGCACAACUGCUAAGAAAGGAAAGCUUCCACAAGAUUCCACCAAGUGAAGGACUUGGAUCUACGAGCACAAACACACUGAGCAGGAUAGUGCCAAUGCCGCACCUCGAACUGCUGGACAAACAAAGAACAUGGGUGACACGGUAUCAAGAGGUGCAGAUGUCAAGGCCCACACCUAAUCAAAUGAUGCACCUAAAGGAUGAACACAGUGAGAAGUCUUGUCUAGAAGACUUAAAACAUUGGAUCCUUGCCGGAAGUUAAAAUCGGUAUUUAUCCAUAUUUAUCUUUUCUUGUAUUCCUUUUCCUUUUUUUUCCAUCACUUGCAUUAGCAUAUUUACGUUUCCACAUUAAGCAUUAGAAAAGAAAACAAAAAUAUUUGUUCAUUGCACUGCAUCAUAAAAUCUAAAGCCCCAUGUGAAUAGACUUGUGGUUUAAAACCCAUAGGUAUAUUGACUAUGGUGGCAUAAAAUAAAUAUGUUUUCAUCUUACAAUAAAAAUAUAAAAAUAAUAAGUGCAUGAUCCUGCUAAAUAAGUAAAAUUUAUUAGGAGGAAUCUCAAUAUGAUAAAAGGCUAAGAGAUUUUAUGCUAACACUUAACCAGUUCCACAAAGCUUUGUUGUCUAUUUGAGCUCCACGGAGUUCAAGGACCAAAGAAGACUUGUCGGCGGAGGACAUAGUAAUCGUUGUCAUGGUACUGCCGACAUUCAAAUACACCUCCGUCACCUGCUAGCUAAAUCAGAAGAAAUUAUGUCAAAAUCUAGCUUGGUGGAGAGCACCCCUAUUUAUGCAGCUAAGUGUUUAUACUUUACUCAAAUAAAAAGAUGCAUAAUCAUGAGAACCCAAAUAAAAAUUUUUGUGCUUAUAUAUAUCUUUGCUUAGUUUGCUAAAUAAAUAAAUAAAGUGUCUAGGCCAAACUGAACUUAAAUGAUAAACUCUUACAUGGAUAUGAUAAAUAGUUGCUCUGCCAUGUACCUAGUUUUCAAGUUUGAGCUCUCUCUCAAGUUUAGGCAUAACUGUUAUAAUUUAAACCUGCUCUAAACCUGAACUUGUGGGAAGAGUACUUGAUCUAAAGUCUAAGUCGUUAACGGAUACGAUAUGGAAAGGUUGAGCUGCUGUUUAUCUGUUCCUAGAGUUGCUAGAAUUCUGGAGAAUAUUAUCUUUGAAAAUCUUUAAAAUAUUGCAUGAUGAGUUCCUGUAUGAUAAGAGUUUAAAUUCCUACCACAGCCAUACAUACAUGCUUAUUAGACUAAGAACCAUACAUUUACUUUUUACUGCUUAUGAGCAUUGAGUGUGGUCAAGUUGUGUAGACCCUUAGGAGCUUGUCAUGCGGUUAAAAUCAAGAUUCACUUGCACGUUCACUCAUACAUGCUACUUCUACUCCGGAAGUACGCAUCCAUAUACAUCCACUCAAUUCCAUCUCUAGAUUCACCUAAAAUUAUUCUACUCCUAUCCGAGAGAGAAUAGCCAAAAAACUUUUUCAUAUCCCUGUUUUUCCCUGUGAAAUAAAUGCUUGAGUUAUCUUGGUUACUACCACUUGCUAUAUUAUUUCAGGAGAUGAGUGCUCUUAAAAAAAAGAAAAAAAAGAAAAAAAAAAGAGAAAGGAUACGAGGAAAUAAAAAGGGGCAAGUGCCCAGAACCUCGAAGAAAAGAAAAAGUGCAAGAUACCCACCUGAGAGGAAAGAAAAAGAAAAAUAAAAUAUAGAGCAUCUCAUUCUCCUCAAAAAGCUUCAAAGUGCAAGAAAGAUAUGUAUCCCCUUAAAAGAGCAAAAGGAGAAUUAGGCUUUCACCAUUGUUAUCAUCAUACACCAUUCAUUCGCCACACAUGCACAUCUUGAUUUGAUUUUUUGACUUGUUUCUCUGGAUCCAUGGUUUGACUAUGCAAUAAAUGUCUUGUAAGUAUGUAUGCUUUAUCUCCCACCUAUGAGCUCCAGAUAUCAAAAACUUAUUAGAGUAGGGUGAGAGAGAAGGCAAUAUCAUUAUGCCUCAUACCAAAAAUACCACAUACUUUGAGAGAAGGCAU
rnacentral:lncRNA from 1 species